CUGUUUGGCUAAGUCCUCAUGACUUAUUUUGGUCAGUGCAAGUUUACUUGCAGUGACUCAAAGGAUGUUUCCAAUGUUGAGAACUGUAGCACUGUCUGUUCAUCCCCAGGUGGGCUGGUUGACAUGCUGAAGUAUUCCCUCUGUGGCUGUAUUCCCUCUGUGGCUGUUUUGUUCCUAUUAUUUGGUUUCUAUUUAGUUUAGCUUGGUUCUGUUAAGUUUUAUUCUAUUUUGUUUGUAGUUUGUUUUUGUUUUCUUGUUUAUGAGCAGUGGGCCAAAUCCUGAUGUGCGCUACACUAAUGCGUUUUUCUCUCCAGCUGGGAUUGUCGUCACCUCAGAGGUUUAUGCCAAAUGAAUUCCUGUUCAUGGACUUCAUACAAUCUGGAGCUGAGUGCUUGAGGCAGGGAGACUACUUCCAUUCUGUACCUGGUGGUGGUUUGUCUUCAGUACGUGCUGUGCUCCUCACCAUAUCAUUUUCAGGGACGUGUGUGUGGCAUGUGUGAUUCUGUGAUGUUCCAGGACAGAUGCUCUCUGAU